CUCCGGCUCGUUCUUUGGCUAAACGACGAGCGCGCGCUCUCGCGUCCACCUACUGAUUGGACAAGACGGCAAUCAAUCAAAUGUUUUCCAACAAAAAGAGAAAAAAUUCUAAAAGAUGCCCUACACUGCCUAAAACCCAACUUAGAGCAGAAUGGCGUGCCAGGGUUUGCUGGUUUUGUGACUCUGGUUGGCUAAUUUGCCUAAAGACCUGACAGGUAUUAUCUGGCGACAACCUGCGUGACAAACUAACCAGCUUGAACUGGAUUGCAAAUGUACAAAUCCUCUUAAUACAUCCAAUUAAACAAAAAACAGCUAGAGCAACUCUUACAAGGCAGAA